GGAAGAAGAAGACGCUGCACGACUACGCGGCGGAGUUCACGGAGCUGGCGGUGAAGCGGCACCUGCUGGAGCGCGGCGCCGCCGGCGAGGCCGCCGUGGUGGAGACGCUCUACUGCACCUCCUGCGAGCUGCCCAUGCGGGUGCGGCGCGACCGCAUCCUCGAGCACCUCUCCUCGGGCCGCCACUACCGCAACCGCCGCCUCGGCCGCCAGCACGGCCUGCGCGCCCCGCUCCUCCUAUCUGCAGGUCCAGACCUUGGCGCUAGCCUCCCCCUCCAGCUCGAUCCUCCUUCCCUGCUUUCUCAGCCUUCCUUUAUCCUCUCGGCCAACCCUUGCAUCACCAGCGCCGGGACCAGCACGAGCUACAGCAUGGUCCCGUCUCCGCCCUCCUGCCCCAAGGCGUUGAUCCCYGUUCCCCCCGGCGCUGUCAGCUCCACAACGAGCAUCGCGUCUGCCAGAGAAGACCAGACGCCCUCUACCUCCACCAGUCGCUCUUCGGCGUUCGCUGCCUUCCAUGUGAGAAGCACGCCCGCUCCCUCAAAGCAGACCGGCCAAAGGCUCCUUGUUCCUGAGGUCUCCGACAGCGCCGUUCCCGGAGGGGCGGCGGGACGGAGCAGCAGUACUGCUAGCAGUAUCGGCAUCGGCCUCGCCCUCUUUGGCGUAGGGCUCGUUGACAAAGCGUUGUUUCAGAGUUUAAUGGAAGAGAAUAGUUGCUGUUUGCUUUACAUCGUGGAAAAUCAGCUGCAGGAGGUGGAACGUGCCUUCAGCGCGGAAUUUUUGGCCAAUACCAGGGUGCUGCGGCAACAGGAUGCUGACGUUGUGCUCAGUGAUCAACGACAGAUGGGGUUUUGUGCCUUGUUUAACUCUUCCUCGAAAUUUAAGAAAGCUAACAUUUAA
ensembl:lncRNA myo-inositol 2-dehydrogenase-like